UUAAUAAUAAAUUAUAAUAUAACAUAUCAUAAAUACUAUAUAUGUAAUAUCAAUAUAAUAUAUAUUAUAUUAUAUUGAUAUAAUAUAUUAAUGGUACAUUGAUAUAUCUUUUUUUCAUUGGGUUGAAUGGUAUUUUUGUUCCCAAAUUCUAUCCCAAGAUCAAUGCUCUGGGGUGAUCUUGAUACCUGUCCUCAAGGACAGAUUUCUCAUCACCGGGUUGGGCGGUGAUUUGAGGAGUGAAGAUGAUUUGGGAUUGCUGCCGAGUAGAUCACCAUGGCGCAACCAAACGCUGUGAUCUCGUCACCUCCACCCACAUUUCUCUUGAUCUUGGGGUGAUCACCCCAUACCAAAUGCCUCCUAUAAUGUUUUGAAAAUUAUUCUCCAAACACCCUUAUUAAACCUACUCAGUGCCCCUAUCCUAGAAUUAUCUUAAUCGAAGUAGGUUUGGCUUCCAAUCAGAUCAUCCCAAUGACAUCAAAUAGAAAACAAACCGUUCAUUAGUUUAAAUUUCGGUUUUGUCGAUGAUUAAUACAAAUGCUUGAAUAUCCCUAUGAAAA
rnacentral:lncRNA from 1 species